rnacentral:rRNA from 1 species
UACGUAGGUGACAAGCGUUGUCCGGAUUUACUGGGCGUAAAGAGCGCGCAGGCGGUCGUUCAAGUCGAGUGUGAAAGCCCCCGGCUCAACUGGGGAGGGUCACUCGAUACUGAUCGACUCGAAGGCAGGAGAGGGAAGUGGAAUUCCCGGUGUAGUGGUGAAAUGCGUAGAUAUCGGGAGGAACACCAGUGGCGAAGGCGACUUCCUGACCUGUUCUUGACGCUGAGGCGCGAAAGCUAGGGGAGCAAACGGG